rnacentral:rRNA from 1 species
UGCCCGCGUGCAUUAGCUAGUUGUAAGGUAAAGGCUUACCAAGGCGAUGAUGCAUAGCCCGAGUUGAGAGACUGAUCGGGCCACAUUGGGGACUGAGACACGGGGCCCAAAACUCCUACGGGGGGAGGGGCAGCAGUAGGGGGAAUCUUCCACAAUGGACGCAAGUCUGAUGGAGCAACGCCGCGUGAGUGAAGUAAGGUUUUCGGAUCGUAAAAGCUCUGUUGUUGGUGAAGAAGGAUAGAGGUAGUAACUGGUCCUUUAUUUGACGGUAAUCAACCAGAAAGUCACGGCUAACUACGUGCCAGCAGCCGCGGUAAU